AGAUAACGAAUCUCAAAUUCCAAAGAGACUUAAGUGAUUCACUUGAUGACUUCCUGAUGAUGGAGAAACUGAGUCCCAGAGAAGGGACUGGCCCAACAUCACCAAAGGCAAUACGUGGCUAUUGUUCUCCUGCUUCUGGUGCCUUUUGCUGGGUCACUGCCCUAAGAUUCCGUAAGUCUGAAGUAACUGCCAUCUACGACCCCUUCUCUUGGCCGACAAAUCUACUGCUCUAGACCAAACUCUUGUUGCAUCUCUCUCCUGACUGUGGCAAAAUGUCCCACUCCUAUUCGUCCUCCACCUAGCUGCCAAAGUGAGUUUCCUGAAAGAUGAUUCUGACCAUGAUCUCUCCCAAUUCAAUAAACUUCCUUUAGAAUUCUA